AGUUUAAUCCACGGGAAACAAAAGGAUCGUCCCAAAACGAGUAAGGAUGAAAUUGUCCAUACAGGGCUAUACUCGUACGUGACGCCAAUCAUCAAAUUAUACACAGCGGUCAGCCGGUGUUCCAAGGAAAACAUUUGUCCAGAACUGAAUUUACAUGAAGUGUGUGUAUCACAUCCAUUGAUCAUAUGAGAGGCCAAUGUGAACCGCACAUACGAGUUCGUGCAAGAUGAGAGAGAGAGAGAGAGAGAGA